GACGAACGCUGGCGGCGUGCUUAACACAUGCAAGUCGAGCGGUAAGGCCCUUUCGGGGGUACACGAGCGGCGAACGGGUGAGUAACACGUGGGUGACCUGCCUUUAGCUCUGGGAUAAGCCUGGGAAACUGGGUCUAAUACCGGAUAUGACCCUAUGGCGCAUGUUGUGGGGUGGAAAGCCUUGUGCGGCUAGGGAUGGGCCCGCGGCCUAUCAGCUUGUUGGUGGGGUGAUGGCCUACCAAGGCGACGACGGGUAGCCGGCCUGAGAGGGCGACCGGCCACACUGGGACUGAGGCACGGCCCAGACUCCUACGGGAGGGCAGCAGUGGGGAAUCUUGCGCAAUGGGCGAAAGCCUGACGCAGCGACGCCGCGUGAGGGAUGACGGCCUCGGUU
rnacentral:rRNA from 1 species